rnacentral:snRNA from 1 species
GUGCUCGCUUCGGCAGCGCAUAUACUGAAAUU